AAAUCUAUUUCAGUUUUAGAAUAUUGGAGCUACUCUCACUUUCAAAAUUCUGGCUACUCUCAAAGCUUUCCUUAUUAUGAACCCAUUCUGCUAAGUUCUUAGGAAUUCUAUUAUCAGGAAUUCGGGAUGGACCACCUUCCGAAUCACCUGUAUCAAGGUGCCAUUUGCUUCUAGCCGUAGAAUCUAGAGAUCUCUCGCUAUCACUAUGAGAGGUAUCGAGACUACCACCACUUCUAGACAUGGUGUGUAUGUCACUAGUGCACCUCAAAACCUAUAUGCAAUCAAAUAGUAAUUG
rnacentral:lncRNA from 1 species